GCCUCUGUGAUCUAAUGGUUAUGACGCUCGAUUUGGCAGCGAGAGGUCGCAGGUCCGAAUCCUGUCAGAGGCA